rnacentral:rRNA from 1 species
UACGAAGGGGCUAGCGUUGCUCGGAAUCACUGGGCGUAAAGCGCACGUAGGCGGAUUGUUAAGUCAGGGGUGAAAUCCUGGAGCUCAACUCCAGAACUGCCUUUGAUACUGGCGAUCUCGAGUCCGGGAGAGGUGAGUGGAACUGCGAGUGUAGAGGUGAAAUUCGUAGAUAUUCGCAAGAACACCAGUGGCGAAGGCGGCUCACUGGCCCGGUACUGACGCUGAGGUG